AAUUAAGAGCGCUUAUUCAUUUUUUCUGCUAUUGCAGUUUUGCUAACUUUUUUGUGCUACACGUCGUUCAUUAAAAAAUUCUGUGAGAUUUAAUUAUAUAUAAAAUUCUACAAUAAAAUAUUAUAUUUAAUUACAUUUAAUUGCCGGAGAAGUAAAGAUAUAAGAUAUAAGAAGUAAAGACAUAAGAAAGGAUAGAAGAAAGGAAGCCUCAUCGAGGUCGCAGGUGGCGAUGCUCAAAGCUAAUUAUGCGAACAUAGCAUAGGAUCGGUAUCGUUCUCACAAAUCCCCUUUCUCUUGUAUGUGCCAACGGCCUGUGAGAUGAGACGAAAGAGGGUAGUUUGGGGUUGGAUAGGUGAUACGAUACGAAAAGAGAAGUGCAGACUUGACUGCGCUAUAACGGAUUAACGGCUGCGAUUUAUUCGCAAAGAAAACAAUAUGAUCGCCAUUCGGAAAAUUCUCGAUUAUAAUGUUUUAAUAUGAUUCGAAAAGAGAUUUAAUAUAAUUCUAAGAGAAAAUAAAGAUUGAUAUUUUGCAAAAGAC
rnacentral:lncRNA from 1 species